UGGCUCAGAUUGAACGCUGGCGGCAGGCCUAACACAUGCAAGUCGAGCGGUAGCACAAGAGAGCUUGCUCUCUGGGUGACGAGCGGCGGACGGGUGAGUAAUGUCUGGGAAACUGCCUGAUGGAGGGGGAUAACUACUGGAAACGGUAGCUAAUACCGCAUGAUGUCUUCGGACCAAAGUGGGGGACCUUCGGGCCUCACGCCAUCAGAUGUGCCCAGAUGGGAUUAGCUAGUAGGUGGGGUAAUGGCUCACCUAGGCGACGAUCUCUAGCUGGUCUGAGAGGAUGACCAGCCACACUGGAACUGAGACACGGUCCAGACUCCUACGGGAGGCAGCAGUGGGGAAUAUUGCACAAUGGGCGCAAGCCUGAUGCAGCCAUGCCGCGUGUAUGAAGAAGGCCUUCGGGUUGUAAAGUACUUUCAGCGAGGAGGAAGGCAUUGUGGUUAAUAACCACAGUGAUUGACGUUACUCGCAGAAGAAGCACCGGCUAACUCCGUGCCAGCAGCCGCGGUAAUACGGAGGGUGCAAGCGUUAAUCGGAAUUACUGGGCGUAAAGCGCACGCAGGCGGUUGAUUAAGUCAGAUGUGAAAUCCCCGAGCUUAACUUGGGAACUGCAUUUGAAACUGGUCAGCUAGAGUCUUGUAGAGGGGGGUAGAAUUCCAGGUGUAGCGGUGAAAUGCGUAGAGAUCUGGAGGAAUACCGGUGGCGAAGGCGGCCCCCUG
rnacentral:rRNA from 1 species